rnacentral:rRNA from 1 species
UAAAGCUAAAAAGAGCGCAGGGCGAAUGCCUUGGCAUUGGGAGCCGAUGAAGGACGUGAUUAACUGCGAUAAGCUCCGGGGAGUGGUAAGUACACAUUGAUCCGGAGAUUUCCGAAUGGAGCAAUCCAGCUGAGCAAACCUCAGCUAUCAUAUACUGAAUAAAAUAGGUAUAUGAGGGAAACCGCCUGAACUGAAACAUCUAAGUAGGGCGAGGAAGAGAAAUCAACCGAGAUUUCCUAAGUAGUGGCGAGCGAACGGGAAAGAGGCCAAACCGCGAGUAGAAAUACUUACGGGGUUGCGGACUGCAUUUAGCAUUGACAGAUCUUAACCGAACAUCAUGGGACGGAUGACCAGAGAGCGUGAUAGUCGUGUAGGUGAAAAGAGAAGUCAGCGAGCAGGAUCCAGAGUACCGCCGGACACGUGAAACCCGGUGGGAAGCUGGGGGGACCACCCUCCAAGCCUAAAUACUACCCAAUGACCGAUAGUGAAUAAGUACUGUGAAGGAAAGGUGAAAAGAACCCCGGGAGGGGAGUGAAAGAGAACCUGAAACCCUGUGCUUACAAGCACCUAGAGCACAUCAAAGUGUGAUAGGGUACCUUUUGUAGAAUGGUCCGGCGAGUUAUGAUAUGCAGCAAGGUUAAGCACUUAAGGUGUGGAGCCGAAGCGAGAGCAAGUCUUAAUAGGGCGUCAAGUUGUAUGUCAUAGACCCGAAACCGGGUGACCUAGCCAUGUCCAGGCUGAAGUGGAGGUAAAGCUCCAUGGAGGGCCGAACCGACCCCCGUUGAAAAGGUGGCGGAUGAGGUGUGGCUAGCGGAGAAAUUCCAAUCGAACCCGGAUAUAGCUGGUUCUCCCCGAAAUAGCUUUAGGGCUAGCGUUGUGAUAGAUUACCGGAGGUAAAGCACUGAAUUGGCUAGGGGCCGAGAGGUUACUGAACCAUAUCAAACUAAGAAUGCCGGCUAAUUGUUUCACAGCAGUCAGACUACGUGAGAUAAGUCUCGUGGUCAAAAGGGAAACAGCCCAGACCCACAGCUAAGGUCCCGAAAUAGAUUUAAGUGGAGAAGGAUGUGGAGCUGCAUAGACAACCAGGAUGUUGGCUUAGAAGCAGCCACUCAUUAAAAGAGUGCGUAAUAGCUCACUGGUCGAGUGGCUCUGCGCCGAAAAUUCAACGGGGCUAAAAUCUAUACCGAAGCUUGGGCUUGACAGUAAUGUCAGGGGUAGGGGAGCGUUGUGUAAGAGGAGAAGUCAUAGCGGAAGCGGUGGUGGAUUUUACACAAGUGAGAAUGCCGGAAUGAGUAGCGAGAAUUAUGUGAGAAUCAUAAUGGCCGAAAGUCUAAGGUUUCAGAAGGAAGGUUCGUCCGCUUCUGGUAAGCCGGGAGCUAAGGCGAGGCCGAAAGGCGUAGCCGAUGCACAUACGGUAGAAAUUCCGUAGCCUCUAUCAAUUUAAGCACAGGGACACUUUUGAAGGGUUUAGCCGAGCGUUGGUUGCCUCGGUCGUAAGGGACUGCGAAUGAGCGGGAAGUAAACUUGGAAGAAGGCGAGAAAAGCUGUGUGUAUAGAAGAUAGAGCCCGUACCGCAAACCGACACAGGUAGACAGGAAGAAGAUUCUAAGGCCAACGGGAGAAGGGUUGUUAAGGAACUCGGCAAGUUGACCCCGUAACUUAGGGAGAAGGGGUGCUCUUCAAAGAGCCGCAGAGAAUAGGCCCAAGCGACUGUUUAGCAAAAACACAGCUCUAUGCUAAAUCGAAAGAUGACGUAUAUGGGGUGACACCUGCCCGGUGCCGGAAGGUUAAGAGGAGGAGUGAGAGCUCUGAAUUGAAGCCCCGGUAAACGGCGGCCGUAACUAUAACGGUCCUAAGGUAGCGAAAUUCCUUGUCAGGUAAGUUCUGACCCGCACGAAUGGUGUAACGAUUUGGGCACUGUCUCAACAACCUACCCGGCGAAAUUGUAGUACCGGUGAAGAUGCCGGUUACCCGCGACUAGACGGAAAGACCCCAUGGAGCUUCACUGUAGCUUAAUAUUGAAUUUCGGUAUUUCAUGUACAGGAUAGGUGGGAGACUGGGAAGUCAGGGCGUCAGCCUUGAUGGAGUCAACCUUGGGAUACCACUCUUGAGGUGCUGGAAUUCUAACCUGUGGCUCUGA